rnacentral:lncRNA from 1 species
AAUCAUUAUAACCAUGUAAUAACCAUACACUCAAAUGUUCUCUCUUUUCAGAUCGGUUUUCAAAUUCAGAAGCUGACGAAUUCCGAAAGUACAGUUUUUGCAAAGAAAAUCAUUGUUAUAAACUUUCGUUCAAGCUAUCAAAGUCUACUGAACAGAAAAUACAUGGAAUGUCUAAAUAUACUGAACAUUUAGACCCCCCAGGAUUUAUGCCAGAUUUCAUUGUACUCAGAACAACAAAACAAGCAAUGGCUCGGGUACAAGUAUCUACAUAUCUACAGCCAAUGUUCAAAGAAGAACAUUGAAGAAAGAACAGACAACAAACAAGAACAGCAUCUAACCUUUUUGCUGUUUUUUUGUCCCUCUAUGAAAAAAGUCGUCAAAAUGAACGAAAAGUAAAGCCUAUAGCCUUACUAUUUUUGCUGUUUUUGGCCACUUAUGAAAAAUGG